rnacentral:rRNA from 1 species
CCUACGGGUGGCAGCAGUGAGGAAUAUUGCUCAAUGGGCGAGAGCCUGAUCCAGCGACGUCGCGUGAGGGAGUACUGCCCUAUGCGUUGUAAACCUCUUUUGUCGGGGAGCAAAUGACGGACGCUUCCGGCUGUGAGCCUACUCGUUGCAAACGCACCGCCUAAGUCCGUCCCAGCAGCCGCGGUAAUACGGGGGAUGCGAGCGUUAUCUGGAUUUAUGGGGUCUAAAGGGUCCGCGGGGGGAUUGUUCAGUCAGCGGGCAAAUCGUGGGGCUAAACCCCCUCCAGCCGUUGAACUUGGGGGGCUAGAGUGUACGAGAGGUAGGCGGAAUGCGUGGUGUAGCGGUGAAAUGCAUAGAUAUCAGGAAGAACCCCGGUGGCGAAGGCAGCAUGCCGGAGCACAACUGACGCUCAGGCACGAAAGCGUGGGUAGCGAACAGGAUUAGAUACCCGAGUAGUC